UACGUCUCACGUGACUGGCGAAAAGCUGCAACUGUCCCCAUUUUGGUGCGAUGAUUGCCGGCGAAAGGUGGGCAUCCACCGGGAAACGUGAGAUUUCAUCAGCCGUUCGCCUGGGCAGCCCAC
rnacentral:ncRNA from 1 species